GCAGCCGCGGUAAUUCCAGCUCCAAUAGCGUAUAUUAAAGUUGUUGCAGUUAAAAAGCUCGUAGUUGAAUUUCGGGAUUGGCGCAUCGGUCGUGCCUCACGGGGUAUGAACUGGUGCAGUCAAUUUCUCACCUUCUGGAGAACCGCGAUGUCCUUAAUUGGAUGCCGCGGGGAACCAGGACCUUUACUUUGAAAAAAUUAGAGUGUUUAAAGCAGGCAUUUUUGCUUGAAUACAUUAGCAUGGAAUAAUAAAAUAGGACGGCAUGGUUCUAUUUUGUUGGUUUCUAGGACCACCGUAAUGAUUAAUAGGGAUAGUUGGGGGCAUUAGUAUUCAAUUGUCAGAGGUGAAAUUCUUGGAUUUAUUGAAGACUAACUACUGCGAAAGCAUUUGCCAAGGAUGUUUUCAUUAAUCAAGAACGAAAGUUAGGGGAUCGAAGACGAUCAGAUACCGUCGUAGUCUUAACCAUAAACUAUGCCGACUAGGAAUCAGACGAUGUUAAUUUUUUAAUGACUCGUUUGGCACCUUACGGG
rnacentral:rRNA from 1 species